rnacentral:rRNA from 1 species
AGGGUUUGAUUCAUGGCUCAGGACGAACGCUGGCGGCGUGCUUUAGACAUGCAAGUCGUACGAGAAAGCCUCUUCGGAGGUUAGUAAAGUGGCGCACGGGUGAGUAACACGUGGGUAAUCUGCCCUUAGGUUUGGGAUAACCCCGGGAAACCGGAGCUAAUACCGAAUGAGACCACGAUGACUUCGGUCAAUGUGGGAAAAGAUGGCCUCUUCUUGAAAGCUAUCGCCAAUGGAUGAGCCUGCGGUUGAUUAGCUUGUUGGUGAGGUANCGGCUCACCAAGGCAACGAUCAAUAGCUGAUCUGAGAGGAUGAUCAGCCACACUGGAACUGAGACACGGUCCAGACUCCUACGGGAGGCAGCAGUCGGGAAUAUUGGGCAAUGGGCGAAAGCCUGACCCGGCAACGCCGCGUGAAGGAUGAAGGCCCUAGGGUCGUAAACUUCUGUCGAGAGGGAAGAAUGCUUGCGGGUAAACAAUCCGUAAGUUUGACGGUACCUCCAAAGGAAGCACCGGCUAACUCCGUGCCAGCAGCCGCGGUAAUACGGAGGGUGCUAGCGUUGUUCGGAUUUAUUGGGCGUAAAGCGAGUGUAGGCGGUUUGGCAAGUCGAAUGUGAAAUCCCGAGGCCCAACCUCGGAACUGCAUCCGAAACUGUCAGGCUAGAGUCCCGGAGAGGGUGGCGGAAUUCCCGGUGUAGGGGUGAAAUCCGUAGAUAUCGGGAGGACACCAGUGGCGAAGGCGGCCACCUGGACGGUGACUGACGCUGAACUCGAAAGCGUGGGUAGCAAC